AUUGAACGCUGGCGGCAGGCCUAACACAUGCAAGUCGAGCGGAUGACGGGAGCUUGCUCCUUGAUUCAGCGGCGGACGGGUGAGUAAUGCCUAGGAAUCUGCCUGGUAGUGGGGGACAACGUUUCGAAAGGAACGCUAAUACCGCAUACGUCCUACGGGAGAAAGCAGGGGACCUUCGGGCCUUGCGCUAUCAGAUGAGCCUAGGUCGGAUUAGCUAGUUGGUGGGGUAAUGGCUCACCAAGGCGACGAUCCGUAACUGGUCUGAGAGGAUGAUCAGUCACACUGGAACUGAGACACGGUCCAGACUCCUACGGGAGGCAGCAGUGGGGAAUAUUGGACAAUGGGCGAAAGCCUGAUCCAGCCAUGCCGCGUGUGUGAAGAAGGUCUUCGGAUUGUAAAGCACUUUAAGUUGGGAGGAAGGGCAGUAAGUUAAUACCUUGCUGUUUUGACGUUACCGACAGAAUAAGCACCGGCUAACUCUGUGCCAGCCGCCGCCGUAAAAC
rnacentral:rRNA from 1 species